CAGCCAUGCCGCGUGGAGGAUGAAGGUCCUCUGGAUUGUAAACUUCUUUUAUCUGGGGCGAAAAACGGGUUUUUUAACUCACUUGACGGUACCAGAUGAAUAAGCACCGGCUAACUCCGUGCCAGCAGCCGCGGUAAU
rnacentral:rRNA from 1 species